UGCAGAAUUCGCCUUAGAGUUUGAUCCUGGCUCAGGAUGAACGCUGGCGGUAUGCUUUACACAUGCAAGUCGUACGAGAGUUUUUAACUCAAGUGGCGGACUGGUGAGUAACACGUAAGAAUUUGCCUUUAGGAGGGGGAUAACAACUGGAAACGGUUGCUAAUACCCCAUAUGCUUUCGAGUAAAAUGGAUUUUCCGCCUAAAGAGAAGCUUGCGGCUGAUUAGCUUGUUGGUGAGGUAAUGGCUCACCAAGGCGACGAUCAGUAUCUGGUUUGAGAGGACGAUCAGACACACUGGAACUGAGACACGGUCCAGACUCCUACGGGAGGCAGCAGUGGGGAAUUUUCCGCAAUGGGCGAAAGCCUGACGGAGCAAUACCGCGUGAGGGAUGACGGCCUAUGGGUUGUAAACCUCUUUUUUCAGGGAGGAAUCAAUGACGUGUACCUGAAGAAUAAGCAUCGGCUAACUCCGUGCCAGCAGCCGCGGUAAGACGGAGGAUGCAAGUGUUAUCCGGAAUCACUGGGCGUAAAGCGUCUGUAGGUGGUCAAAUAAGUCAACUGUUAAAUCUUGAGGCUCAACCUCAAAAUCGCAGUCGAAACUAUUCGACUAGAGUAUAGUAGGGGUAAAGGGAAUUUCCAGUGGAGCGGUGAAAUGCGUAGAGAUUGGAAAGAACACCGAUGGCGAAGGCACUUUACUGGGCUAUUACUAACACUGAGAGACGAAAGCUAGGGUAGCAAAUGGGAUUAGAUACCCCAGUAGUCCUAGCCGUAAACAGUGGAUACUAGAUGUUGAACAGAUCGACCUGUGCAGUAUCAAAGCUAACGCGUUAAGUAUCCCGCCUGGGAAGUAUGCUCGCAAGAGUGAAACUCAAAUGAAUUGACGGGGAAGGGC
rnacentral:rRNA from 1 species